UACGUAGGGCGCGAGCGUUGUCCGGAAUUAUUGGGCGUAAAGAGCUCGUAGGCGGCUUGUCGCGUCGGAUGUGAAAGCCCCGGGGGCUUAACCCCCGGGUCUGCAUUCGAUACGGGCAGGCUAGAGUUCGGUAGGGGAGUACGUCGGAAUUCCUGGUGUAGCGGUGAAAUGCGCAGAUAUCAGGAGGAACACCGGUGGCGAAGGCGGGCUCUGGGCCG
rnacentral:rRNA from 1 species